rnacentral:tRNA from 1 species
GUUAACAAAAUAAAGUACUAUUAAAUUUGAGUAGUUUAAUAAAAAACAUUACACUUUCAUCGUAAAAUUAAUUAUUUCUCAA